AACGAACGCUGGCGGCAGGCCUAACACAUGCAAGUCGAGCGAGAUCUUCGGAUCUAGCGGCGGACGGGUGAGUAACGCGUGGGAAUAUGCCCUUCUCUACGGAAUAGCCUCGGGAAACUGGGAGUAAUACCGUAUACGCCCUUAGGGGGAAAGAUUUAUCGGAGAAGGAUUAGCCCGCGUUGGAUUAGGUAGUUGGUGGGGUAAUGGCCUACCAAGCCUACGAUCCAUAGCUGGUUUGAGAGGAUGAUCAGCCACACUGGGACUGAGACACGGCCCAGACUCCUACGGGAGGCAGCAGUGGGGAAUCUUAGACAAUGGGGGCAACCCUGAUCUAGCCAUGCCGCGUGAGGGAUAAAGGCCUUAGGGUUGUAAAGCUCUUUCAGCUGGGAAGAUAAUGACGGUACCAGCAGAAGAAGCCCCGGCUAACUCCGUGCCAGCAGCCGCCUAAAAC
rnacentral:rRNA from 1 species